CGCAAGGUUGACCUCGGAUCAGGCAGGGAUACCCGCUGAACUUAAGCAUAUCAAUAAGCGGAG
rnacentral:rRNA from 1 species